CACGUAGGCACCAAGCGUUGUCCGGAUUUAUUGGGCGUAAAGAGCUCGUAGGCGGUUCAGUAAGUCGGGUGUGAAAACUUUGGGCUUAACCCAAAGCGUGCAUCCGAUACUGCUGUGACUUGAGUUCGGUAGGGGAGUGGGGGAAUUCCUGGUGUAGCGGUGGAAUGCGCAGAUAUCAGGAGGAACACCAAUAGCGAAGGCAGCUCGCUGGGACGGUACUGACACUGAGACGCGAAAGCGUGGGGAGCGAACAGG
rnacentral:rRNA from 1 species